ACGCUGGCGGCGUGCCUAAUACAUGCAAGUAGAACGCUGAAGGAGGAGCUUGCUUCUCUGGAUGAGUUGCGAACGGGUGAGUAACGCGUAGGUAACCUGCCUGGUAGCGGGGGAUAACUAUUGGAAACGAUAGCUAAUACCGCAUAACAGUAGAUGUUGCAUGACAUUUGCUUAAAAGGUGCAAUUGCAUCACUACCAGAUGGACCUGCGUUGUAUUGGCUAGUUGGUGGGGUAACGGCUCACCAAGGCGACGAUACAUAGCCGACCUGAGAGGGUGAUCGGCCACACUGGGACUGAGACACGGCCCAGACUCCUACGGGAGGCAGCAGUAGGGAAUCUUCGGCAAUGGACGGAAGUCUGACCGAGCAACGCCGCGUGAGUGAAGAAGGUUUUCGGAUCGUAAAGCUCUGUUGUAAGAGAAGAACAGGUGUGAGAGUGGAAAGUUCACACUGUGACGGUAUCUUACCAGAAAGGGACGGCUAACUACGUGCCAGCAGCCGCGGUAAUACGUAGGUCCCGAGCGUUGUCCGGAUUUAUUGGGCGUAAAGCGAGCGCAGGCGGUUAGAUAAGUCUGAAGUUAAAGGCUGUGGCUUAACCAUAGUACGCUUUGGAAACUGUUUAACUUGAGUGCAAGAGGGGAGAGUGGAAUUCCAUGUGUAGCGGUGAAAUGCGUAGAUAUAUGGAGGAACACCGGUGGCGAAAGCGGCUCUCUGGCUUGUAACUGACGCUGAGGCUCGAAAGCGUGGGGAGCAAACAGGAUUAGAUACCCCUGGUAGUCCACGCCGUAAACGAUGAGUGCUAGGUGUUAGACCCUUUCCGGGGUUUAGUGCCGCAGCUAACGCAUUAAGCACUCCGCCUGGGGAGUACGACCGCAAGGUUGAAACUCAAAGGAAUUGACG
rnacentral:rRNA from 1 species